ensembl:lncRNA
GUGACAAUCAGGGGAAGUGAGACCUCUAGUGGCCACCCAGGGAGACACAGAACAGACACUGUGACAUUAGCCCCCCCUCUAAGGAGCAGCUUCCAGAUGCUCCCCAGAUAAAAAAAAAACAAAUCAAAAAGACCAGGAGGGAGGUGGACUGGUGGAGGUAGAACAGGGGGAGGGAUGGCGGGCCAGGCCCGUGUAGGAGAACAGGGACCGGCCGUAAUGGCUCCACCGGCAGCCAAGGUGGAUCAGACAGUUCAGGGGGCCAGGGUUGACCCAAAAGUUCAGGGGACCACGAGGGACCAGACAGUUCAGGUGGCCAGGGUGGACCCGAAAGUUCAGGGGACCACGAGGGACCAGGCAGUUCAGGUGGCCACGGAGGAUCAGUCCAUCUUAGUUGUGCAGACGGCCAGGGAGGAACUCGCCACUUGAGCGACCAGAGCGGAACCUGCCCUUCCGGUGUCCCAGUGGAGACGUGAAGGUGCUCUGGACGGCCUGUGGAGACGUGAAGGUGUUCUGGACGGCCUGUGGAGACGUGAAGUACCUCGACCUCGGGAACCAUCUUGGGCACCGCAACGGACAGCGCCUCGGGCACCGCAUCGGGAAUGGCCUCGGACCCUGCCUCGGGCACCGCAUCGGGAACGGCCUCCGGAUCGGGCACCGCCUCGGCCAUUGCAUCGGGCACCGCCUCGACCUCGGCCUC